UGGGGAAUCUUGCACAGUGGGGGAAACCCUGAUGCAGCGACGCCGCGUGGGUGAAGAAGGCCUUCGGGUUGUAAAGCCCUUUAGGCGGGGAAGAAGGUUUUAGGGUGAUAAGCCUUAAAAUUUGACGGUACCCGCAGAAUAAGCACCGGCUAACUACGUG
rnacentral:rRNA from 1 species